CAAUAGCCAUACCACAUUGAACACCCUUAAUCUCAUCUGACCCCAGAAGUUGAGCAUGGAUGGGCCUGGUUAAUAUGUGGAUAGGAGACCAACUGGAAUUACUGGGUGG
rnacentral:rRNA from 1 species